AUUGAACGCUGGCGGCAGGCCUAACACAUGCAAGUCGAGCGGAGCGGCGGACGGGUGAGUAAUGCCUAGGAAUCUGACUGGUAGUGGGGGAUAACGUCCGGUAACGGGCGCUAAUACCGCAUCCUAUCAGAUGAGCCUCGGUCGGAUUAGCUAGUUGGUGGGGUAAGGGCCUACCAAGGCGACGAUCCGUAACUGGUCUGGGAGGAUGAUCAGUCACACUGGAACUGAGACACGGUCCAGACUCCUACGGGAGGCAGCAGUGGGGAAUAUUGGACAAUGGGCGAAAGCCUGAUCCAGCCAUGCCGCGUGUGUGAAGAAGGUCUUCGGAUUGUAAAGCACUUUAAGUUGGGAAGCGUUACCUACAGAAUAAGCACCGGCUAACUCUGUGCCAGCAGCCGCGGUAAUUC
rnacentral:rRNA from 1 species